GCGGAGGGUAAGGUCGGCGGCUACGGGGGAAGAGGGAGGGUCUAGGUUAGGUUCAGUAUUGUGGAGCGGGAGGGCGGGGACCGGAGGUAGAGGUAAGGAUGCGAGUAGCCGGUGGAGGGAGGCUACCUCGAGCUGGGGGUGGGGGUUCGCGGCGACGAGGUCGGAGAGGGCGCGGGGAGCUAGGGUCUAGGGGCAGAGGUUCAGUGGGAGAGCGAGGGAGUCUAGAGCUAGGCGGCGGCGGGUGGUAGCUGCUGGGAGUGGUAUCUGCUCUAGCUCGAGGAGGGAGGGAGGACAAGAGGGGGUCGGAAUACACGAGGCUCGCUUGGUUGGUGAGGCACGAACCCUAAAACGGCGUGCCGCGUGGCAGAGCGGCCGGGCCGCUGGUGUCCCGAGCGCACCCUCGUCGCGUGCUGCCUCCGGAGACCUCCUCUUCGCCCUCCUCGGGAUCGCAGGAGCGCGCGGGCCGGGCACCGUCCUCGUGGUGCUGCGCGCAGAGCCUCGACGUCGUAGAGGAAGCCGCUGAAGUAGAAGCCGUAGGACGGCCGGUGCGAGCAGCCGCAGCCGUGGGACCGCUGAAGGGCAUUAGGUCAAGCCGUUGCGCACGACCCUUGAAAUGACGGAGCUCGUGCCGUAGAUCCAAGAAGUAUGGGGUAGAGUAGGGUAGAGAGCGGGGAAGGCUACAGCUUGAACAUACACCAAGUUUGUUACUAACAUACUUGUGAAAGUCAACAGUCUAGAAGAGACCAAACCUUAUAAAUCCAACAUUAACUACGUGCUAAACUUGGCACUACCCUAAUGACCUAAUGGAAGGGCACAUCCAGAUUAACAAAAGGGGGUUCUUACGCCGUUAAUCACAAGCUAGACACGCUGGGAAGACUUAAACAGUCCUUGUACUUGAUAAGCAUCAAGGAUUAAAUUCGUACGCUAGACACUACAGAUCGGUAAAGCAAAACAUCAAAUCUAGACUAUUCGUUAACGUCACACUCCUAGC
rnacentral:rRNA from 1 species